rnacentral:RNase_P_RNA from 1 species
CAUAUGAGAUAUGGGGCUGACGGUAGUCAUUGAACUGCUGAGGAACCUCACCUCACUUUCCAAGCAAGGAGUAGAUAACUACUACGGUGAAAAUCGUAUUUUAGCAACUGAAACGGCACUGCCCUUUUACGUACAUUAAUGACUUGGAUUUAAGCCAGAGAAAUUGUAAUCGGGAACGGUUGGAACGAGCUAAAACCUUGGUGUAAGGCCAAAUGAAAGCGAUGAGUAUUUGGAACGAGCUUUAGGUAGGCCGCUUAGUUUGAUGCCCCACCUAUUUCUUGGUAACGAGAAGUAGUACAAAAAGGUGGGUAUAUAUCUCAGGUG